rnacentral:rRNA from 1 species
UGGGGAAUAUUGCACAAUGGGGGAAACCCUGAUGCAGCGACGCCGCGUGAACGAAGAAGGUAUUCGUAUCGUAAAGUUCUGUCCUAUGGGAAGAUAAUGACAGUACCAUAGAAGAAAGCUCCGGCUAAAUACGUGCCAGCAGCCGCGGUAAUACGUAUGGAGCGAGCGUUGUCCGGAAUUAUUGGGCGUAAAGGGUACGCAGGCGGUUUAAUAAGUCGAAUGUUAAAGAUCGGGGCUCAACCCCGUAAAGCAUUGGAAACUGAUAAACUUGAGUAGUGGAGAGGAAAGUGGAAUUCCUAGUGUAGUGGUGAAAUACGUAGAUAUUAGGAGGAAUACCAGUAGCGAAGGCGACUUUCUGGACAAAAACUGUCGCUGAGGUACGAAAGCGUGGGGAGCAAACAGG